CUCCUAGUACGAGAGGACCGGAGUGGACGAACCUCUGGUGUACCGGUUGUCACGCCAGUGGCAUUGCCGGGUAGCUAAGUUCGGAAGAGAUAACCGCUGAAAGCAUCUAAGCGGGAAACUUGCCUUGAGAUGAGAUUUCCCGGAGCCUUGAGCUCCUUGAAGGGUCGUUCGAGACCAGGACGUUGAUAGGCUGGGUGUGGAAGUGCAGUAAUGCAUUAAGCUAACCAGUACUAAUUGCCCGUACGGCUUGUCCCUAUAACCUU
rnacentral:rRNA from 1 species